rnacentral:misc_RNA from 1 species
GAUGAAGAACGUAGUGAAAUGCGAUAAGUAAUGCGAAUUGCAGAAUUUCCGUGAGUCAUCGAAUCUUUGAACGCACAUUGCGCCCACUGGUAUUCCGGUGGGCAUGCCUGUUCGAGCGUCAUUAUCCUCCCUCAAACCCCGGGUUUGGUGUUGGACCCAAGUUGUGUGAACAACUGGUCUUAAAGACAAUGACGGCGUCCGUGGGACCCUCGGUGCAACGAGCUUUUAGGAGCACGCAUCGAGUUGCAAGGACCUUCCGGGCCGGUCUCCUUUACUAUUUUACAAGGUUGACCUCGGAUCAGGUAGGAAUACCCGCUGAACUUAAGCAUAUCAAUAACGGAGGA